UACGGAGGGGACUAGCGUUGUUCGGAAUUACUGGGCGUAAAGCGCACGUAGGCGGAUUUGUAAGUCAGGGGUGAAAUCCCGGGGCUCAACCUCGGAACUGCCUUUGAUACUGCAAAUCUCGAGUCCGGAAGAGGUGAGUGGAAUUCCUAGUGUAGAGGUGAAAUGCGUAGAUAUCGGGAGGAACACCUGUGGCGAAAGCGGCUCACUGGACCACAACUGACGCUGAGGCGCGAAAGCUAGGGGAGCAAACAGG
rnacentral:rRNA from 1 species